CCUACGUGGGACAGCAGUGAGGAAUAUUGGUCAAUGGGCGCGAGCCUGAACCAGCCAAGUAGCGUGAAGGAUGACUGCCCUACGGGUUGUAAACUUCUUUUAUAAAGGAAUAAAGUGAGGCACGUGUGCCUUUUUGUAUGUACUUUAUGAAUAAGGAUCGGCUAACUCCGUGCCAGCAGCCGCGGUAAUACGGAGGAUCCGGGCGUUAUCCGGAUUUAUUGGGUUUAAAGGGAGCGUAGAUGGGUUGUUAAGUCAGUUGUGAAAGUUUGCGGCUCAACCGUAAAAUUGCAAUUGAUACUGGCAGUCUUGAGUACAGUUGAGGUAGGCGGAAUUCGUGGUGUAGCGGUGAAAUGCUUAGAUAUCACGAAGAACUCCGAUUGCGAAGGCAGCUUACUAAACUGCCACUGACAUUGAUGCUCGAAAGUGUGGGUAUCAAACAGGAUUAGAUACCCGUGUAGUC
rnacentral:rRNA from 1 species